UGCAAGUCGAACGGAGUUAACAGCAGCACUCAGCAGUUGGCAUUCAGCGAUCAGCAAAGAAGAGAAAAUCCUUUUAGCUGACAGCUAAGAGCUGAAAGCUGAGUGCUGUUGUUAACUUAGUGGCGGACGGGUGAGUAACACGUAGGUAACCAACCCUCAAGCGGGGGACAACUCUUCGAAAGGAGAGCUAAUACCGCAUAAGACCACGAACUGGGAUGUUUGUGGUAAAAGGAGCAAUUCACUUGAGGAUGGGCCUGCGGCCUAUCAGGUAGUUGGCGGGGUAACGGCCCACCAAGCCUAAGACGGGUAGCCGGACUGAGAGGUUGAACGGCCACACUGGAACUGAGACACGGUCCAGACUCCUACGGGAGGCAGCAGUGGGGAAUUUUGCGCAAUGGGGGAAACCCUGACGCAGCGACGCCGCGUGGAGGAUGAAGGUCUUCGGAUUGUAAACUCCUUUUGUCGGGGAAGAUAAUGACGGUACCCGAUGAAUAAGCCACGGCUAACUCUGUGCCAGCAGCCGCGGUAAGACAGAGGUGGCAAGCGUUGUUCGGAAUUACUGGGCUUAAAGGGCGCGUAGGCGGUGGAGUAAGUCUGAGGUGGAAGAUUACGGCUUAACCCUAAAAUUGCCUUAAAACUGCAUCACUUGAGUCAGCGAGGGGAUGGCGGAAUUCCAGGUGUAGCGGUGAAAUGCGUCUAU
rnacentral:rRNA from 1 species